GAUGAACGCUGGCGGCGUGCCUAAUACAUGCAAGUCGAGCGAACAGAUGAGGAGCUUGCUCCUCUGACGUUAGCGGCGGACGGGUGAGUAACACGUGGAUAACCUACCUAUAAGACUGGGAUAACUUCGGGAAACCGGAGCUAAUACCGGAUAAUAUCUUGAACCGCAUGGUUCAAUAGUGAAAGACGGCUUUGCGGUCACUUAUCGAUGGAUCCGCGCCGCAUUAGCUAGUUGGUAAGGUAACGGCUUACCAAGGCAACGAUGCGUAGCCGAGCUGAGAGGGUGAUCGGCCACACUGGAACUGAACCACGGUCCAGACUCCUACGGGAGGCAGCAGUAGGGAAUCUUCGGCAGUGGGCGAAAGCCUGACGCAGCAGCGCCGCGUGAGUGACGAAGGUCUUCGGAUCGUAAAACUCUGUUAUUAGGGAAGAACAAAUUUGUAAGUAACUAUGCACGGCUUGACGGUACCUAAUCAGAAAGCCACGGCUAACUACGUG
rnacentral:rRNA from 1 species